CGGGGCUGGGACGGAGAGACAAGAUGGCGUCGCCCCAUUACCGAGGACUGUGUGGAGGAGGAAGCCGGUGGGCCUUCGCCAUCGUCGGCCGCGAAUUAUAACUCGGAGCCGCCGCGCGGGGGUCAGGAGAAGGAGAAGGAGGAGGAAGAGCGGCCGCAGAGUUCGAGGCGAAGCCGCCGGGAUUCUUAAUGGCUUC